rnacentral:rRNA from 1 species
UUGGAGGGCAAGUCUGGUGCCAGCAGCCGCGGUAAUUCCAGCUCCAAUAGCGUAUAUUAAAGUUGUUGCAGUUAAAAAGCUCGUAGUUGAACUUCGGGGUCUACCCAUUGGUCAGGCUUAAUUGUCUGUACUGGUGAGAUGAAUCUCUACCUUCUGAGGAACUUUCAUGCCAUUUAUUUGGUGUGAUGGGAAAUCAGGACUGUUACUUUGAAAAAAUUAGAGUGUUUAAAGCAGGCUAGCGUCUGAAUACAUUAGCAUGGAAUAAUGAAAUAGGACAUCCGAUUCUAUUUUGUUGGUUUCUAGGAUCGAUGUAAUGAUUAAUAGGGAUAGUUGGGGGCAUUAGUAUUCAAUUGUCAGAGGUGAAAUUCUUGGAUUUAUUGAAGGCUAACUACUGCGAAAGCAUUUGCCAAGGAUGUUUUCAUUAAUCAAGAACGAAAGUUAGGGGAUCGAAGACGAUCAGAUACCGUCGUAGUCUUAACCAUAAACUAUGCCGACUAGGGAUCGGAUGAUGUUAAUUUUUUAAUGACUCAUUCGGCGCCUUACGGGAAAC